AUAUCAAUAAGCGGAUGAAAAGAAACCAACAGGGAUUACCUCAGUAACGGCGAGUGAAGCGGUAACAGCUCAAAUUUGAAAUCUGGCUCACGCCCGAGUUGUAAUUUGUAGAAGAUGCUUUGGGUGUAGCUCCGGUCUAAGUUCCUUGGAACAGGACGUCAUAGGGGGUGAGAACCCCGUCGGACCGGCGCAGCUCACUUCACGAGGCGCUUUCGCAGAGUCGGGUUGUUUGGGAAUGCAGCCCUAAGCAGGUGGUAAAUCCCAUCUAAGGCUAAAUACUGGCGGGAGACCGAUAGCGCACAAGUA
rnacentral:rRNA from 1 species